rnacentral:rRNA from 1 species
CCUACGGGUGGCUGCAGUGGGGAAUAUUGGACAAUGGGGGCAACCCUGACCCAGCCAUGCCGCGUGUGUGAAGAAGGCCCUCGGGUUGUAAAGCACUUUCAGUGAGGAAGAACGCCUGGUGGUUAAUACCCAUCAGGAAAGACAUCACUCACAGAAGAAGCACCGGCUAACUCCGUGCCAGCAGCCGCGGUAAUACGGAGGGUGCGAGCGUUAAUCGGAAUUACUGGGCGUAAAGCGCGCGUAGGUGGCUUGAUAAGCCGGUUGUGAAAGCCCCGGGCUCAACCUGGGAACGGCAUCCGGAACUGUCAAGCUAGAGUGCAGGAGAGGAAGGUAGAAUUCCCGGUGUAGCGGUGAAAUGCGUAGAGAUCGGGAGGAAUACCAGUGGCGAAGGCGGCCUUCUGGACUGAUACUGACACUGAGGUGCGAAAGCGUGGGUAGCAAACAGGAUUAGAUACCCGAGUAGUC